rnacentral:rRNA from 1 species
AUGAACGCUGGCGGCGUGCCUAAUACAUGCAAGUCGAGCGAACAGACGAGGAGCUUGCUCCUCUGACGUUAGCGGCGGACGGGUGAGUAACACGUGGAUAACCUACCUAUAAGACUGGGAUAACUUCGGGAAACCGGAGCUAAUACCGUAUAACAUGUUGAACCGCAUGGUUCAACAGUGAAAGACGGUCUUGCUGUCACUUAUAGAUGGAUCCGCGCCGCAUUAGCUAGUUGGUAAGGUAACGGCUUACCAAGGCAACGAUGCGUAGCCGACCUGAGAGGGUGAUCGGCCACACUGGAACUGAGACACGGUCCAGACUCCUACGGGAGGCAGCAGUAGGGAAUCUUCCGCAAUGGGCGAAAGCCUGACGGAGCAACGCCGCGUGAGUGAAGAAGGUCUUCGGAUCGUAAAACUCUGUUAUUAGGGAAGAACAAAUGUGUAAGUAACUAUGCACGUCUUGACGGUACCUAAUCAGAAAGCCACGGCUAACCACGUG